rnacentral:rRNA from 12 species
UGGUGGCGACCGGCGCACGGGUGCGUAACGCGUAUGCAACUUACCCAUUACUGGGGGAUAGCCCGGGGAAACUCGGAUUAAUACCCCAUAGUACCAUUUGAUGGCAUCUGAAGAUGGUUAAAGAUUUAUUGGUAAUGGAUGGGCAUGCGUCUGAUUAGUUAGUUGGUGAGGUAACGGCUCACCAAGACGAUGAUCAGUAGGGGGUCUGAGAGGAUGAUCCCCCACACUGGUACUGAGAUACGGACCAGACUCCUACGGGAGGCAGCAGUAGGGAAUAUUGGUCAAUGGGCGAGAGCCUGAACCAGCCAUGCCGCGUGCAGGAUGACGGCCUUCUGGGUUGUAAACUGCUUUUGUCAGGGAAGAAAAAGACU